rnacentral:rRNA from 1 species
GAUGAACGCUGGCGGCGUGCCUAAUACAUGCAAGUAGAACGCUGAAGGAGGAGCUUGCUCUUCUGGAUGAGUUGCGAACGGGUGAGUAACGCGUAGGUAACCUGCCUGGUAGCGGGGGAUAACUAUUGGAAACGAUAGCUAAUACCGCAUGACAACAGUUAUUGCAUGAUAACUGUUUAAAAGGGGCAACUGCUCCACUACCAGAUGGACCUGCGUUGUAUUAGCUAGUUGGUGAGGUAACGGCUCACCAAGGCGACGAUACAUAGCCGACCUGAGAGGGUGAUCGGCCACACUGGGACUGAGACACGGCCCAGACUCCUACGGGAGGCAGCAGUAGGGAAUCUUCGGCAAUGGACGGAAGUCUGACCGAGCAACGCCGCGUGAGUGAAGAAGGUUGUCGGAUCGUAAAGCUCUGCUGUAAGAGAAGAACGAGUGUGAGAGUGGAAAGUUCACACUGUGACGGUAUCUUACCAGAAAGGGACGGCUAACUACGUG